UCCUUCACAGACAACUGAAGAAAGAUCGGGGUGCUACUUUUGAAUCUUGGAGGACCAGACACGCUUCACGAUGUUCAGCCUUUCUUGUUCAACUUAUUUGCUGACCCUGAUAUUAUACGUCUCCCUAGAUUAUUCCGAAUUCUCCAGCGCCCAUUAGCUCAACUCAUUUCUGUUCUCCGAGCCCCGAAGAGUAAGGAUGGGUACGCUGCAAUUGGAGGCGGUUCCCCUUUACGAAAGAUAACAGAUGAGCAGGCUAGCGCGCUAAAAAUGGCACUA